AAGAAUUUUUCUUAGUACAUAACAAAAUGGAGUCUCCUAUGCCUACUUCUUUCUACACAGACACAGUAACAAUCUGAUCUCUCUUGCUGUUCCCCACAGGGCCGAGAUCUUGCCACUGCACUCCAGCCUGGGUGACAGAGUGAGACUCCAUCUCAAAAAAAAAAAAAGUGUGCUCUGGGCUGGGCGCAGGGGCUUACAACUGUAAUCCCAGCACUUUGGGAGGCUGAGGCAGGAGGAUCGCUUGAAGUCAGGAGUUUGGGAUCAGAUCCUAUCUCUAGAAAAAUGAUUUUUAAAAAUUAGCUGGGUUGGUGGUGAAUGCCUGUAGUCCCAGCUACUCAGGAGGCUGAGGCAGGAAGAUUGCUGGAGCCCGGGAGUUCAAGGCUGCAGUGAGCUAUGAUCAGGCCACUGCACUCCAGUUUGAGGGACAGAGAGAGAUCCCAUCUCCCUAAAGAACAAAAAAGUGUGCUCUGGUGCCACACUGCCUGGUUAGAUCCUUUGUCCACCACUUAGAUGCAUGUUAUAUAAAUGCUGUCUUCAAUUUCCUCAUCUGUAACUUGGGGAUGAUAAUGCUGUCCCAUGAAGUGGUUGUGGGGACUAAAUGUACGUGGGCACAUUGGUAAGUAUUCAACAAGCUUGAUUUUUCCUGGAGAGGGAGAAAGAGCAUACAGUGAAGUGGCAUGGUCAGGUGCAUUGGGGCAAGGAUUAUUUCCUCUGGCUUCUGCCUCCUGGGAGGUACUAAGGAUGGAUCUGAAAUGUGUCUGCAGACCCCAGAGUUGGGGACUGCAGAGGGAAAUUGAGAUCAGGGACCCCAGUCUGGCAGAAAUGGGUGCAGCAUGGGGCAUUGGGUUCCUUCCAUCAGAGGCAUGGGGUGUGUUGCAGACAGUCAUGAGAUGUGGCUGAAUCUUGCAAGGGAGCCACUGUCCUAGGGUUGCUGCUUGAGACAAAGACCACUGUCAGUGGAACCUGGUGACCUUCACCCUUCUGUGUCAGGCUGCAGACAGCAAGAGAUGGCAGCAGAUUACACCCAACAGGAAAAGGGCCAUUGCUAUCCCACAGGUUGCCAUAGGAGGGGAUGAUAUCUCUUCCCUCUCCUCCUCCAGCAGUGUCAGCUGGGGAAGAGGUGGGUUGGUGUGCACAAAAGAGUAGACCGCAGACCAUGCUGCUUCUCCUCCAGUCUGCUGGGGCCCCAAGAGAGUCUGCAGCCCUUGGCCAGGGACCGGCUGACACAGGAGAACAAAAGAUCUCAGGCUGGGAUAACAUGGUGGUGCAGUUCAUCCUCUGGAGCUCCCUGUGAGAUCAGACUGGAGCCAGUCUCCAGCUGAGACCACAUCUCACUUAGCUCCUUCCCUGCCAUAUCCUGUUUUCCUUACUCCUAUCUCCUGAGAGUCCUGAAUGAAUUACAUGCACUCAAUCCGUGCCUCAGGCUCUGUUUUUCGGGAACUUGACCUAAGACAGAUAUCUUAGUACUAAAUACUUUGCAAGGCUUCAGAAGCUCUGCUAUCCACAGGCAGGUGAGAUAUUACCUUCCCUACCACCUGGCAGUCAUAGUCUAUGAUGCAACUCAGCUUUGUGGAAGUGCUUCUCUAAAGAACUUCCCCCAAUUUAAGAUGAUCUUAAUUUGCUUACUUGUUUACUGUCCAUUCAGCUGCUCUAAAAUGUGAGCUCCAAAUCAGGGACCAUGUCUGGUUGGUUACCCAUUUCCUGGGACCUAGAACGGGCCUAGCUCAGAGCAGGUGCUCACUAUUGAUGGAAUGCAUGUUGAAAGAAUGCAUGAAUCUCAUCUCCUUUUGUGGGUGAAAAUCUCAUCCUAUUCUCACUCCUGAUUAACUUUCUUUCUUUUUUUUUUUUCAAAACGGAGCCCUGAUCUGUCACCCAGGCUGGAGUGCAAUGGUGCCAUCUCAGCUCGCUGCAACCUCUGCCUUCUGGAUUAAAGCAAUUCUCCUGCCUCAGCCUCCCGGGUAGCUGGGAUUACAGGUGCACACCACCACGCCCGGCUAAUUUUUUGUAUUUUUAAUAGAGACAGGGUUUUGCCAUGUUGGCCAGGCUGGUCUCAAACCCCUGACCCUGUGAUCUGCCCGAUUUGGCCUCCCAAAGUCCUGGGAUUACAAACAUGAGCCACCGUACCCAGCCACUCUUGAUUAACUUAAUGGAAAUAUUUAGAGAUUCUUUCUUUUCUGGGUUCUAGAGUCUUCUCUGUAACCUCUGCAGGGGAGUCCUUGAGCAGAAGGAAGCAAGUUGCCUGAGAUUCUUCAAAGCCCGCAGCCCUUUUGGAGGUUAGAUGGUUAUUCUCAGAGCCUUUAUGAUGCAUAAUAAAGACCUAGCUUGGACCAAUAUUAGGAUGAGUUAUCUUGCUAUUAACAUUCUUUUAGGUAGAAGUUGCUGGUCCCAUCUUGCUCACAAUCCUCCAAAGUUUGAAAGUUAUUUUCCAGGAGACUUGGCUUGCACUGAGAGCUGCCCUCCCACCCUCUCUCCAAAUUUCCUCUUGGGGGUAGCCUAACAAGGUGCUGUCACAGACCCUUGUCGGCCACGAUGACCCCACCCAGACCAUCCCUCUGCUGUUUCACUCUUUGAUAGUCUCUGGAGCUCUCUGGGGAGGGGUGAGACCUGCCGUCUAGUUUGUAUGGUUUGCCCAGGUCUUACAGUCAUGGCUGGCUGCCUCUCUCUGAGAACUAGAACUCCUGAACUUGGUGAAAGACCUCAGCCAUCGAUCAUGUUGAAUUAUCGGGGACACUCAUUUGAAAUCCGAGCCUGUUCCAGAUAGACUCUCUCUCUUUCUGCCCUGACCGUGAGAGAAGCCCUGCUGGACGGUGGAGACACUCGUGGGCUGUGAGCAAGGGAUGCAAAGGCUGCCGGGAAUCCCAUCUUUCCAGCAUCAUCUGCCAAGGCACAUUAGUUCCUGGGUAUCUGGAUGGGUUCUAGCAGCAUUACUGUCAUUGAAGGAAAAAUUUUAGCCAUAUUAAAGGUUAAUGCAGCAAUCUCCACAUAGGCUGCCUGGAAGGGAAGCAGGACAAGGUUAGGUUUUCCUUGUGAUGGACAGGAGGCAGGCGGCCCUCCCACAGCCCUGCCUGGCAAUACAGAUGUGUCCCCAAAAGGCACUGGGGGCCAGCUGGAGUGCUAUGCCGAGGCGGACUGACCCGGGCCGUGGGUUCACUCUGCUGGCAGCGGUUUCCCGCCAGCUCCUUGCAGAGUUGGCAGAUGGCCCAGCCCCACAGCAGGAGCCGGGAAUGGCAGAACGAGACACAACAAUUUGAUAUCCACUUGCCAGAUGAGCCGGGUGUCAUCAGUCGCCUGGCUCUAUGCCCAACCUCUUUUUGCAUAAACACUUAUGGAUUCAGCCAAGAGGAAAAGCACUCUGAUUAUGAAUUGAGCAGAAGGAAACAAAGUUCUGCAGAUAAACACCAAUGAAACAAAAAACCACGAAUAAGAAAAAUGACAGAAAAGGAGAACCUUCCCAGAAUCCUCCUGCCAGUGAACGGUCACCAGAGCAAGAGCAUGGAGUCCCUGGGUUUUGAACUGUGAGAUAAGGAAGAUGAUGAAAACCUCCCUAGCAGCCAGCCAGGUACUAUUCUAGAUUGUCUUGUGAUAUUUACAAUCUAGGAGAAGGCAGGAGAGAGAACUAAGAACAGAGAGCAUGUUCUGAGAUGUCUGCUGUGUUUGCAGAAACUCCUGGAGGGCAGAGCCAUGCCUGCCAUUUUCAUCAUUGCAUUACCACCACCCAGCACAGUGCCUGGUACAAAAGAGUUGCUCAAUAAAUAAAUCAGGAUGAAUGGACAAAUACACGGAUAGGCACUUUGAACUACAGAUGAGCUUAAAUACUUUGUGUUUUUCUUAGUCAAACAUGUGCAAUUAAGCAUGUGAUAAAUUAUAUGAUGACCACACCUGUGUCUUGCCUGAUGUUCUUUGCAAUCACUAAACAAAGUCAAUUUUGCCUGUUUUGACAGUUCUGUUUUCAACCUAAUGAUCCGUUUCUUUUAACUUCUGGCUGUUGGCUUUGUUUGGGUUUGUUAGCCUGACAAAGUGGCAGAUAUUGGUAUUUGCUCUUUUGUUUAAAUGUCACGAACUUUAAAAAUGCCUUUGCUUUUGGUAAGAAACCCUAGUUAGGACAGUCUAGUGGUCAGGAUGAUUUGGGUUCUGAUGCAGUAACAACAACCCCCAAAUCUCAGUGGCUCCAUGCGGUGAGGUAUUUGUUAGUUUUUGAGACAGGGUCUCACUCUGUCACCCAGACUAGAGUGCAGUGGUGCAAUCUCAGCUCACUGCCACCUCUGCCUCCCAGACUCAAGUGAUUCUCUGCCUCCUGAGUGGCUGGGAUUACAGGCCCGUGCCACUACUGUCUGGCUAAUUUUUUUACUUAGUAGAGACAGGAUUUCACCAUGUUAGCCAGGCUGGUCUUGAACUCCUGACCUCAAAUGAUCCACCUGCCUUGGCCUCCCAAAGUGCUGGGAUGACAGGUGUGAGCCACCAUGUCUGGCCACAAUGAGGCUUAUUCUUGGUCAUGUUGCAUGUCUGGGCUGUGUUAGGGCAUUGUGGGGUGGUCUGUUCAUUGUGUUCACUCAGGGAUCCAGGCUGACAAAAGCCCCAUCUCUGCAUGUGUCCUUGAUCACCACUUCAGGGGAAAGGGAAUGUGCUGGAUCACAGAGCCUCUUAACACUUCCACCUGGAGGUGACUCAAGUUGCUCCUGCUCAUGGUUCAUCGGACAAAACGGAUCACAGAGUCAUGGGCAACUUCUCUGUGCCUGGAAGGGGAACCAAAAUAUGAAUAGCUACAUUGAUUUUCCCUAGCUAUUACACAGAAGGCCUCAUUUAAACACAGUUACUUAUUUGUGUUUUGAAGCUAAUUGUAGUCCAUCAACCUUCACAGAAGAUAUGUGCACUUCUAAGCUAUUAUUAAGCACAGUUUUUUUUUUCUUUUGAGACAGAGUCUCACUCUCUUGCCCAGACUGGUGUGCAGUGGCAUGAUCAUGGAUCACUGCAACUUCUGCCUCCUGGGUUCAAGUGAUUUUCAUGCCUCAGCCUCCCAAAGUGCUGGGAUUACAGACACCCACCACUGCACCUGGCUAAGUUUUGUAUUUUUAGUAGAGAUGGGGUUUCACCAUGUUGGCUUGGCUGGUCUGGAACUCCUGACCUCAGGUUAUCCACCUGCCUUGGCCUCCCAAAGUGCUGAGAUGACAGGCGUGAGCCACCGCACCCGGCCUUGAGUAUGAUUUUUGAUUGGGAACGUCAGAGUUACGGUUUUAGUCUGAGGACAGUAUGACGUGAAGGUGAAAAGUAGAGCUUGGCUGUGAGUUUGCUGGGAUUCCUGUGCUACUUCUACAGUUCUUCGGCUGUGUGACCAUCACCUUUG
rnacentral:lncRNA from 1 species